AUCCAGCUGACGAGUUCCAAAUAGAACGAAACGCGCGUCAAACUGGAU
rfam:Schistosoma mansoni strain Puerto Rico chromosome 1, complete genome